CUCUUUUAGGAACAAUGUGUUCAGAGAGUCAGACAUUAAAAGGAAUUCUCAAGAAAAACAAGGUUGAACCUUUGGGAAAUUACUUCAGUAAAAGACUGUGAAGGAGGGCAGUAACAGUUCCCAAUUGAAGGGACUUUCUGAAGAGAAAUCUGAGCAGAGUUUACCUUGCUCCUGUAGCCCCGUGUCUGAAUUGUGGCCAAGGGGCCAAACCCAUGAUGUAGCAUCAUCUACUGAGGUAGAAGUUUUGAAAUCUGCAACUUUGGAUGGAGUACCCAUUCCCUGGAAAAGUCUUUGA
rnacentral:lncRNA from 1 species